rnacentral:rRNA from 1 species
CAGUCGCCGCGGUAAUACGUAGGUGGCAAGCGUCGUCCGGAAUUAUUGGGCGUAAAGGGCUCGCAGGCGGUUUCUUAAGUCUGAUGUGAAAGCCCCCGGCUCAACCGGGGAGGGUCAUUGGGAACUGGGAAACUUGAGUGCAGAAGAGGAGAGUGGAAUUCCACGUGUAGCGGUGAAAUGCGUAGAGAUGUGGAGGAACACCAGUGGCGAAGGCGACUCUCUGGUCUGUAACUGACGCUGAGGAGCGAAAGCGUGGGGAGCGAACAGGAUUAGAUACCCAGUAGUCCCUGUCUCUUAUCAA